rnacentral:rRNA from 1 species
UACGAAGGGGGCUAGCGUUGCUCGGAAUCACUGGGCGUAAAGCGCACGUAGGCGGACUCUUAAGUCGGUGGUGAAAUCCUGGAGCUCAACUCCAGAACUGCCUUCGAUACUGAGAGUCUCGAGUCCGGGAGAGGUGAGUGGAACUGCGAGUGUAGAGGUGAAAUUCGUAGAGAUCCGGAGGAACACCGAAGGCGAAGGCAGUCUCCUGGCAAGUUACUGACGCUCAGGUGCGAAAGCUAGGGGAGCGAACAGG